AGAUGACGAAGAAUCCUCAUUCCAACCUGUUUACUCUACUCUGAUUAUCAAAGGAUCCGGUCCAUCCAGUCCCACAGUGACCCAGAAUGAAACAGCAGCCAAAGACUCGAGUUCAACGGAGCGGGACGCUCUCUAUGUACCUAUGCACAAGGUCAAAAACAGCAGAGAGACGUCUGACUGAAGACUCUGUGAUGUCUGCAGGAGAAGAAGAAACAUGUCAUGAAUACUGAUGAAUGAAUGAAUGUGCAACUUUGUGAUAAACUUAUUUGUAUUUUUGCAGUCAGUUAUUUUAUGUCGGUCUUGUUCUGUAUAUUUAAAUAAUUUCACUUUCACAUGAUCCUGCAGCUCCAUCAAACCGUUCAUGUUUCAACUUGUUGCAUUUCUAUUUCCUGUUUUCUGUUACAAAACUAAUGUAAGAAACUUAUAAUGCUUAUAAUAUUGCUCAUAUGCUUUAUUUUAUAUUAUAUAUAUAUAUAUUGUAUAUUGAAGUAUGCAUACGGUUAAAGGCAGUCCAGCUAAUGUAAUCCAACUGUUUUUUAAAUGUUUCAUGUGUAUUUUUUAAUAGUUUCCAGAGAUGGUGGAGGUUGAGCUGACUGAUGUGUUCAGACAGUUUUAAGAUGAUUAAACUCACAGCAUCCGUGUCUAUUUUUAUUAGAAUGAGACAGUUAAACCACAUUGUUUUAUCUGCUCCGUUCACACGUCUGAAGACAAAGUUUAGUAGAAGAAAAGCUGCUGCAGAUUGUAU